GAGUUUGAUCCUGGCUCAGAGUGAACGCUGGCGGCAGGCCUAACACAUGCAAGUCGAACGGCAGCACAGAGGAGCUUGCUCCUUGGGUGGCGAGUGGCGGACGGGUGAGGAAUGCAUCGGAAUCUGCCUAUUUGUGGGGGAUAACGUAGGGAAACUUACGCUAAUACCGCAUACGUCCUACGGGAGAAAGUGGGGGACCUUCGGGCCUCACGCAGAUAGAUGAGCCGAUGCCGGAUUAGCUAGUUGGCGGGGUAAAGGCCCACCAAGGCGACGAUCCGUAGCUGGUCUGAGAGGAUGAUCAGCCACACUGGAACUGAGACACGGUCCAGACUCCUACGGGAGGCAGCAGUGGGGAAUAUUGGACAAUGGGCGCAAGCCUGAUCCAGCCAUGCCGCGUGUGUGAAGAAGGCC
rnacentral:rRNA from 1 species